rfam:Tupaia chinensis contig44877, whole genome shotgun sequence.
GCAUGGUAAUGAAUUUACAGCAGGCCCUUCUAUAUGGGUCUCUCAUAAUGUACUAAUGCCAGAGUAAACUGCAGCCUUUAAACUAUUGCUCAGCCUCCUCACUUGUGGUCUGCGAGCAUGGAAUGGGGUUGCACAGUG